rnacentral:lncRNA from 1 species
CAACCCCCAAAGCACGUAGAGAAGAGCCUAAGUCCAUCUAACUGUAACUAUGUCCUGCAGACUGGGAUACAAAGGUGUCUGACUUUAAGAAGAAGAUUGAGUCUAUCCUGCCGGGAAAGCAAUGUGAAAUGGUGUAUGACACCAGCCACCUGCCCCCAGAACAGUCGGAUGUGGUCAUCAUCGGCGGUGGGAUUCUUGGUCUGUCUGUGGCCUUUUGGCUGAAGAAGCUGGAGAGUAGACGAGGUGCCAUGCAGGUGCUGGUUGUGGAACAGGACCACACGGUGAGGUCAGGGAGUAAGAUAGUUAUCUUACUGAGGGCACAGCCUGUUAGAAGUCCGAAGGGCAGGGACUGUGCUUUCCUUCGACUUUGGAGCUUAAGAAAUAGUUCCAGGUUCUUCCUCCCUCAAA